UGGGGAAUAUUGCACAAUGGGCGAAAGCCUGAUGCAGCAACGCCGCGUGAGUGAUGAAGGCCUUCGGGUUGUAAAGCUCUGUCUUCUGGGACGAUAAUGACGGUACCAGAGGAGGAAGCCACGGCUAACUACGUGCCAGCAGCCGCGGUAAUACGUAGGUGGCAAGCGUUGUCCGGAUUUACUGGGCGUAAAGGAUGCGUAGGCGGAUACUUAAGUCAGAUGUGAAAAUCCCGGGCUUAACUUGGGAACUGCAUUUGAAACUGGGUAGCGAGAGUGCGGGAGAGGAAAGUGGAAUUCCUAGUGUAGCGGUGAAAUGCGUAGAGAUUAGGAAGAACACCAGUGGCGAAGGCUACUUUCUGGACCGUAACUGACGCUGAGGCAUGAAAGCGUGG
rnacentral:rRNA from 1 species